UACGUAGGGGGCUAGCGUUGUCCGGAUUUAUUGGGCGUAAAGAGCGUGUAGGCGGCCAGGUAGGUCUGCUGUGAAAACUCGAGGCUCAACCUCGAGACGUCGGCGGAAACCAUCUGGCUAGAGUCCGGAAGAGGAGAAUGGAAUUCCCGGUGUAGCGGUGAAAUGCGCAUAUAUCGGGAAGAACACCCGUGGCGAAGGCGGUUCUCUGGGACGGUACUGACGCUGAGGUGCGAAAGCGUGGGGAGCAAACAGG
rnacentral:rRNA from 1 species